AGCGAACGCUGGCGGCAGGCUUAACACAUGCAAGUCGAACGCCAUCUUCGGAUGGAGUGGCAGACGGGUGAGUAACGCGUGGGAACGUACCUUUUGGUUCGGAAUAUUCUCGGGAAACUGAGAGCAAUACCGAAUAAGCCCUUAGGGGGAAAGAUUUAUUGCCAAAAGAUCGGCCCGCGUUAGAUUAGGUAGUUGGUAGGGUAAUGGCCUACCAAGCCUACGAUCUAUAGCUGGUCUGAGAGGAUGAUCAGCCACAUUGGGACUGAGACACGGCCCAAACUCCUACGGGAGGCAGCAGUGGGGAAUAUUGGACAAUGGGCGCAAGCCUGAUCCAGCCAUGCCGCGUGAAUGAUGAAGGCCUUAGGGUUGUAAAACUCUUUCAACGGGGACGAUAAUGACGGUACCCGUAGAAGAAGCCCCGGCUAACUUCGUGCCAGCCGCCGCGGUAA
rnacentral:rRNA from 1 species